rnacentral:rRNA from 1 species
UGGGGAAUAUUGGACAAUGGGCGAAAGCCUGAUCCAGCCAUGCCGCGUGUGUGAAGAAGGUCUUCGGAUUGUAAAGCACUUUAAGUUGGGAGGAAGGGCAGUUACCUAAUACGUGAUUGUUUUGACGUUACCGACAGAAUAAGCACCGGCUAACUCUGUGCCAGCAGCCGCGGUAAUACAGAGGGUGCAAGCGUUAAUCGGAAUUACUGGGCGUAAAGCGCGCGUAGGUGGUUAGUUAAGUUGGAUGUGAAAUCCCCGGGCUCAACCUGGGAACUGCAUUCAAAACUGGCAAGCUAGAGUACGGUAGAGGGUGGUGGAAUUUCCUGUGUAGCGGUGAAAUGCGUAGAUAUAGGAAGGAACACCAGUGGCGAAGGCGACCACCUGGACUGAUACUGACACUGAGGUGCGAAAGCGUGGGGAGCAAACAGGAUUAGAUACCCCAGUAGUCCCUGAGCGGGCUGGCAAGGCGCAU